rnacentral:tRNA from 1 species
GCCUGGCUGGCUCAGUCAGAAGAGCAUGCGACUCUUAAUCUUUAGAUCGUGAGUUCAAGCCCCACGUUGAGUG